AUGUGUCAUCCGUCUUCAGGUGUCCAUGGCAUCAGUCUGGCCUCGUCUCCAGACCAGCUCAGGUCUCCUGGUGCCUCGGUGAAGAUCUCCUGCCAGGUGUCUGGUUAUGCCCUCACUGACUACGGCACGGGCUGGAUCCAACAGCCUCCAGGCAAAGCCAUGCAGUGGAUUGGGAUCAUGUGGGGUGGAGGCUCCUUUGACUACGCCGACUCCUUCAAGAGGCGCUUUAGCAUCAGCAGAGACAGCAGCAAUGUGCUCUACUUGGACAUCAGCAGCCUGCAGCCUGAGGACUCAGCAGUGUACUAUUGUGCCAAGACACACAGUGCAGCAGCUCAGUGGAGGAGCUGAACAAAAUCCCCAGACGGAGACACUCACACUCACACUCUGCACCUAAGACCGCAGUC